CUCCAAUCACAGGUCGGAUUCGAGAGCUAGUCCAAUCAGAGGAAAACACUACAGUGCAUGAGCGCACGAGACGUUUCCUGAAGCAUUGCGGAAGAGAGGAGCGCCGCGAAUUCCUGAAAGUGUAGCUGGGCCCCGUUGAUACUGCAUCAUGUCUUGUGCGCUUCUACUGUUGUUGAUGAGCUUGGCUUUGGCGAUACGCACUGGCGCAGCGGUGGAGAUCCAGCGUCCACGCGGAGUACCGCUAUCAAAGAGACAGUUCUAUGAGGAGAACAAGCCCUUUACCUGUUUGGACGGCUCCAGCACCAUCCCCUUUGACCGGGUCAACGAUGACUACUGCGACUGCAGGGAUGGCUCGGAUGAACCAGGUACUGCUGCCUGCCCCAACGGCAGCUUCCACUGCACCAAUGCUGGCUUCAGACCCACCUUCAUCCCUUCCUCCCGGAUCAACGACGGCAUCUGUGAUUGCUGUGACACGACAGACGAGUACAACAGUGGUGCCACUUGUCAAAACACCUGCAGGGAGAUGGGGCGCAAGGAGAGGGAGAGUCUGCAGAUAAUGGCUGAGAUCACCAAGGAAGGCUUUAUGCUCAAACAACAACUGAUACAUGAAGCUAAAAGGGGACAGGAGGACAAACAGGGCAAGUUGACUGAGCUUCAGGGUAGUAAGAAGGGUCUGGAGGAGAAGGUGGAGGCUCUGAGGACUGUGAAAGAAACAGCGGAGGAUCCAGAGAAAGAGGCUAAAGAGCUCCACCUGAAGGCUUGGGAGGAACAAAAAGAACUAAUCCGUAUGGAGAAGGACAAAACUAGAAUGGCUGAGGCUUUUCUGGAGCUGGAUGAUGACGCAGAUGGCUAUGUUUCUGUGGCUGAGCUGCAGUCCCAUCUAGAGCUGGAUCCAGAUUCAGAUGGCUCUCUGACAGAAACAGAGACUCAGGGAUUGCUGGGAGGAGCAGACAAAGUGGACACGUCUGCAUUUGAAACUGUGUGGAGCGGCAUCAAAGACAAGUACCUGUCAGAGGUGUCUCAGGGCCAGUCUGACCCCCCUGCCCCAGUGGAGACCCCCCAGGAGGAGGAGACCAGGGACUUUGUCUCUGACCAUGACUCUGACCACUACCCCGAGGAUUACGCUGGAGAGGAGGAGGAUGUGGAGGACGACGAGGAAGAUGAUGAUCACGAGGAGGAGGAGGAGGAAGAAGAGAAGGUCCCUCCCACCGUGCAGACCCCAGAGAAAAGAGAGGACGAUGAGGUGUCCAUGCCACCGUACGACACAGAGACCCAGAGCCUUAUUGAUGCUGCCCAGAAAGCCAGGGAUGAUUUUGAUGAAGCUGAGAGGGCUCUCCGGCAAGUGGACGAUCAAAUGAAGAAUCUUGAGAAGGAGAUUGGUUUUGACUUUGGGCCAAGUGCAGAAUUUGCAUACCUCUACAGCCAGUGCUACGAAUUAUCCACAAGCGAGUACAUCUACAGGCUGUGUCCGUUCAAUAGGGUCUCCCAGAAACCUAAGUUUGGGGGUUCAGAGACCAACCUUGGCUUGUGGGGACAAUGGGCUGGUCCUGAAGACAAUUUAUACUCAGUGAUGAAGUAUGACCAUGGGCAGGGGUGCUGGCAGGGACCCAACAGGUCCACCACAGUGAAGCUGACGUGUGGGAAGGAGACGGUGGUGACGUCCACGUCAGAGCCCAGUCGCUGUGAGUACCUCAUGGAGUUCACCACCCCUGCUGUGUGCCAGGAGCCAGCCAGCCUGGACGAAGUCCUGCACGGACACACAGAGCUGUAGCGUUCCCCACCAACAGGACAAAGGAAGACCUGCAUUGUGCAAGGACCCAGUCUUGACUUGGUUUCUCUUUAUGGACUACAUGCUAGCCUCUCACCCUGUUCUGCUCUGCAACAACCAGCUGCUGCACUCUGGAUUCACAAACUGGAAGAUGAAGAUUCAAAAUGGUUGCUUGUUCUUUACUCCUACUUGUCUGUUGUUGCUUUAACUUGUUUGUCUAGGGUUAGUGAUUCAAUUAGAUUCAAAAAUAGUCAUUCCAUUAACAAAAAAAAGGAGUAGAAUUUGAAUAUGCUGAAUCGUUUUCUCCGGUGUUCUACUUUGCCAAUCAACGAGUUGUACUGUAUCUAAGCAGGAUAGUCAGUAUAAUGUUAACUAUGCUCUGUUGGCUCUAAUACUACAGUAGAUGACUAUGCCAAUGAUGUGCAUUAUGACGAUGGUGGGCAGUUUGUCAUAUGCGCAUUAAUGGUUUUGCAUUGUUACCCUCUGGAAACGACAACAACGCUCAAUGUCAUCUUGUAAAAAUAACAUGGGUCACUCAGAUUUGUAACCUUUUAUUUUUUUCUGGCAUGUAAAGUACAAAUAAUUAAACAAUUCCAUGAAAAAGUCUUCAAGCGUCUUCAGCUGAAAUCCCAGUAAUAAAUAUCCUAAACUAAA